UUUGUGAUAUGUGAGUGAUUAAAUGAGUGAAUGAGUGUUAGCUUUUUGUGUUUUGAACAAUUGUCUAUAAACAUUGAAAGGUUCAAGAUAAGUUGUUUUUUAUGUGCACUUUGAUUUUUAUUUAUUUAUUAGAAUUUGCUUGUCUUAAGCUCUGUUUGGUAAAAAUAAGCUAUAAGUUAGCUGAUAGCUGAUAAGCUAGCUUAUAGCUAAAAAGCUAGCUUAUAGCUGAUGGCUGGUAGCUUAUAGCUGAAAAGCUAGUAGAAUAAAAUUAAAGUAUUUGGCAAAUUUAGCUGUUGUAAGUAAAAAAUGACAUAAAAAUACAUGGUUAGUGGGUAGUUUUUUUUUUGUAAGUGUUAGUGGGUAGUUAUUAUAAUUUUUAAAAAAUAAAUAAAUAAAAUUAAUGAGGGUAAAUAUGGAACAAAAUGAAAAAGAUAUAAGUUAUAAGUUCAUACGCUACUUGAAAUAGCAUCUCAAAAAAUGCUAUAAGCUAGUUAGAGAAGCUCGUUACCAAACACUUCACAUUUUUUUCAAACAAGCUUAUAAGCUAGUUCAAUAAGUUAUAAACUAGCUUAUUGAACUUACCAAACAGUGCCUUAGGAUCCAUCUGUUAUAAGAUUAAAAUAAAAAUGAUUUUGAUAUAAAUGAUUUAGUGAUUAGUUUUUUUGAGUAGAA
rnacentral:lncRNA from 1 species